AACGAACGCUGGCGGCAGGCUUAACACAUGCAAGUCGAGCGCCCCGCAAGGGGAGCGGCAGACGGGUGAGUAACGCGUGGGAAUCUACCCUGAACUGCGGAAUAGCUCCGGGAAACUGGAAUUAAUACCGCAUGUGCCCUGAGGGGCAAAGAUUUAUCGGUUCAGGAUGAGCCCGCGUCCGAUUAGCUAGUUGGUGGGGUAAAGGCCUACCAAGGCGACGAUCGGUAGCUGGUCUAAGAGGAUGAUCAGCCACAUUGGGACUGAGACACGGCCCAA
rnacentral:rRNA from 1 species